rnacentral:rRNA from 1 species
UACGUAGGGCGCAAGCGUUGUCCGGAAUUAUUGGGCGUAAAGAGCUCGUAGGCGGCUUGUCACGUCGGAUGUGAAAGCCCGGGGCUUAACUCCGGGUCUGCAUUCGAUACGGGCUGGCUAGAGUGUGGUAGGGGAGAUCGGAAUUCCUGGUGUAGCGGUGAAAUGCGCAGAUAUCAGGAGGAACACCGGUGGCGAAGGCGGCUCACUGGGCUGACCUUGACGCUGAGGCGCGAAGGCGUGGGGAGCGAACGGG